UACACUUAUGUAUGUUUUUGUUUAACUUGUGGACAAAGACUUAUGGAUAGAUGCAAAAAAUAAAUCCUCUUUUGCAACCUAGAAUUCAUUGUUCAGUGGGAGUUUUGAUACAUGUAAAAAGGAAUAUU
rnacentral:snoRNA from 1 species